rnacentral:lncRNA from 1 species
AUGAACCCCAUUUUUUGUGUUUUCACAGUGAGCCUACAGGCGCCCAACAUCUCACUAACUUCUCCUGGUGCAGAGUUGGUCUGGGGUCCUGGAGAAGCAGAGAUCACUGGUGGUCUGAACUUUACCAUCACCUGCUCCAUUAACCCUGAAUCUCCUCAGGGUCAUUUCUUUCUCAUCUUUCCUGGAUUCAACAUGACUACCAACAGCCCAGCAGUCAACAGCACAGCCUCCUUUACCUUUCCUGUGGCAGAGUUAAAACACCAGGGUAACUACAGCUGUUUGUACCAGGUUACCCUGUCUGGACGCACCGUGGCCUCUGCUGAGUCAGCACCCAUCACUGUUGUUGUGAAGGAAUCUCUGCUGCUGCUGAUCUGUGCAGUAUUUGGUGGAAUCCUGCUCCUGUUGCUCUUCGUCUUGUUCCUGGUCUAUCUUGCCCACAGGAGAAGAAAACCAAAACAGCCAGCGGUUCUUUUCCAGACUCGAAGUGUGUGUUCAUCAGGUUCCCAGAUAUUUAGAUUAAGUAUUUUGUAAAUGGGCCAUUUAACUGUGUUUUUUUUUUUUUUUUUGUGUUUUAGGCUUUACCGGAGAGGACAGAGGGAUUUGUGAGGCAGAACAUGAAAAUCUUCCAGGAGAACCCUUUCCAUCAAAACUAACGUACAAAGCAGAUGAAGACAAAGGAAUUGAUUAUGGAGAUAAGACAAAUCUUAAUGAAGAAUUUAGUCCACCAUUAUUAAUGGAGAGUGCGAGUGCUAGGAAUGAAAAACAAGCAGAGGAAAAAAAGGAGAACAAAGAAACCAGUGAUGACAAAAACUACUGUAACAAUGCAACUUUGCCUGCCCAGUAAACUGUUCAGAUAUGGUUUAAUCUGGCUCUAAUUUAGGAUUUUCAGCUUUGUUUGGUUUGUUCCCAGAUAAAAGACUUUUGCUAAACCCUCUAACACCAGAGCUUUGGUUCCAGUGUUGACAUUCUAUGACUUACUGUGACUCUUUAACCAUUUAUGUAAUAAACAUAAGUGCAACAGAUUCUCAAGCUGAGAAAAGCAGCUUAUUACUGAUAUGCAACACUUACUGAAGGUUGCUUCUGAAUCUGUUUGACUUAUGUAUAUUGCGUAAAAGGUUAAAUACUUAAUUCAAAAAGGCAUAUUAUUUCAUGUCACCUGUGAAAUCUGCUUUUCUGUGCCUCAGAAUCUGUUGAAAUCACAUCAUCUGUGUAAAGGAUCAAAAAAUUACAGUAGUUUGGAGAGCGUUUCUUAUUUCCUUUUGUUGCCAGCAGUUCUGGUGGUAAAGGGUAAGAACAAAUAUCUUGAAAAUGGACAUGUCUCAUUUCAUCAAACUUUAAUCAUCUCAUCCAAAAAAACAAGAGCAAAUGACAGAAUAUGGUUGGUAUUAACAGAAAAAGAUUUUCUGAUAUAUUUAAGGGCACAAAACACAUAUAAGCAAUAUAAGCAAUCAAUAUUUUCAGUUUUAAAUUGAAAGUGCAAAGUUAAUUCUUCAUGUCACUCAACUAACCUUUUUGAAUGGGACUGUAAAGUACUUUGGGUCUAAAUCAGGAUAGAAAGCACUAUUUAAGUACAGAACUUAAACCAUUUACAUCAGUUUUUUUUAUUUUUAUGAAGUGUUGGUGCAUUCUGACCUAUUGUACAUAAUGUCAGGCUCUUUUUCACUGUGCUGGGGACUGAAUGCUUGUUUCAAGUUUUUAAUUGUUUUUAACACACCUCAAACCACUGGGAAGACAAUGGGAGUUGGAUUCCCCUGCAUUCUUUCUAGUUUGUAGAAUUUAAUUCCUUGUGAUGGCAACAUACUCUACCAGUUCUACAGCAAAAUGGCAGAACACUUCAGUGCACUUCACCUUGUACUGUUUAUUGUGUUUACUGAUUCAGAAUCUUGAUUUCCUAAAAUGAGUACAAUUUUUAUUUAAGAUGUAUCAUUUGGUGUUCUCAUAAGUCAUUAUUAGUAGCACACUCAUUUUAUUAUUUUUGUACAGUUUACUCAACCUGGUCAAUCUGUUUAAUUAAUAUCACGGUUUUUUGAGUUGUCAGUGCUUAAAGGAGCUCCACGUUAUGGGUGUGGCCCAGCUUCUCCUUUUGCAGCUCCGCUGUGAGGCCAAAAGAGGUAAUGCAGGAAGUACAGCCCUAAAAUACUCCAGCCAGUCAGUUGGACUAGCGCUAUCUAAAGGAGUUUCCUGCUGAUGAAACUACGGUGUAACUUAAUGUUUGUGCUUUAGCUAUGUGGGGUUGUUAUGCAUUGGUGUGGGUACAAUUUGCAUGAUAUAUUUUUUUUAUCUACAGAAUGACAUAGGGACCAAAAAAUGUAGUUUUUGUCAUGGUUUGUCUUUUUUGUCUUUCCAUUUUCUCUCUGUCAUGUUUGAGUUCUGCUUCCUGUUUUAUUUUGUGCCUUGUCAGUCCUGUUUGUAAGUCUUAUCUCUGCCUUCCUCUUGUGCUGGUGUAUACCGCCAUAUCCCUGAGCAUCUUCUUCCUGUUUACUUGGUUUGUCUACAGUUUGUUGUGUUAGGUUACCCUGCUCAGCAGCACUUUUUGUUUAUGGAAUUAAAACCUCUUGACUUUUAACCCUGUACCUUCCGUCUCUGCAUUUUAAGUCCUUCGUCAAACACCCUACUUGAAAGUUUUAAACUGAAACAAAACAUGUGUUCUUCAAAAGAGGAAGUGGGAAAUAUUCGCUCCUUCACUGAACACUUUACUUCAUUUAUGUAAGAGUCAGUUUACCAAAUCAGACAUUCUGGAAGAUUGAGAUUGUGGGGUAUGAUCAUCCAGUCUCUGUUGCAGCUGUUCCCAGAUGUGCUCUAUGGGGUUCAGGUCAGGGGACAUUGAUGGCCAUACCAUAUGAAAAUAUAUUGUGACACCAUGGUUACAUAUUAUGACACCAUUUUGGCACCAUGUGGUGGAGCACUGUCAUGUUGGGGGUAUGCUAGUGGAAUUAGGUGAUGAUGAUGGUUCUAUGAUGUCUCUGAAGUAAGAACAUGCAGUGACUGGGCCAUAUGCAAUAACUAAAACGUUUUUUUACUGACGGGGGAUGUCUGCCCAGACAGUUGCACCUCCUCCACCUAGAGACUACGUUGACCUUGACGUAUUGCAGUAAUGCUGAAGACUAUUAUUUCUAUGCAAGGUGACUCAACACUCAUCAGUGAACAGGGGCCUGUUUCAGAAAGGAGGUUCAACCAACUCUGAGGUUGAACUUGAACUCUGAGUUGGUCAAUCGGGAGAUUAACAACUCUGAAUUUUCUGUUUCAGAGAAGCUGAUCCCAGUUAGAUCAAUCAACUCUGAGUGGACUGAUUCGGAGGUGAGCGUGCGCACCGCGUCUAUAAGAAGCCAUUAUCAAUGGAGCGCAGAUAUCACAAGUCACCAUGGCAACCGUGAAAAAAAGAGGUCUGCGUAUUUUUCGCCAGCUGAACUUGACGUGCUGCUGCAGAGUUAGAGUGAAUAUGAGCACAUAUUCCGGAAGAAAAGCAACACCGCUGCAUCUGCAAAACAGAGACAGUUAGCGUGGAAAACAUAGCUGCACAAGUUAUUGCCUAAGUUUGCAUUUAAAUCAUUGUUAUAAAAUAUUGGCUGUAAUAACUUUUUAAAUAGCGUAAGGUGUGAAAUAAAAAAUGGCGAUAUUAAGGUGUACUUUUGAAGUGUUAUUCCUGGUGUAAAUGCAUGAAAUGCUGCAUAGUGUACAGAACCAA